UACAGAGACUGCAAGCGUUAUUCGGAUUCACUGGCGUAAAGGGUGCGCAGGCGGCCGUGUGCGUGAGGCGUGAAGCCUGGAGCUUAACUCCAGAAUUGCACCUCAAACUACAUGGCUAGAGCAUUGGAGAGGUAGCAGAAUUCAUGGUGUAGCAGUGAAAUGCGUAGAUAUCAUGAGGAAUACCAGAGGCGAAGGCGGCUACCUGGACAAUUGCUGACGCUCAGGCACGAAAGCGUGGGGAGCAAAAGG
rnacentral:rRNA from 1 species